AGAGUGAACGCUGGCGGUAGGCCUAACACAUGCAAGUCGAACGGCAGCACAGUGGUAGCAAUACCAUGGGUGGCGAGUGGCGGACGGGUGAGGAAUACAUCGGAAUCUACCUUUUCGUGGGGGAUAACGUAGGGAAACUUACGCUAAUACCGCAUACGCCCUUCGGGGGAAAGCCGGGGAUCGCAAGACCUGGCGCGGAUAGAUGAGCCGAUGUCGGAUUAGCUAGUUGGUGAGGUAAUGGCUCACCAAGGCGACGAUCCGUAGCUGGUCUGAGAGGAUGAUCAGCCACACUGGAACUGAGACACGGUCA
rnacentral:rRNA from 1 species